UAAAAAUAUAUUGUCAUGAUAUAAACAAGAGAUCAAAGGUUAUUGUAUCUAAAUAAAUGUGAUAAAGAAAAAUCAUAUGCCAUGAAUUCCAAAAAAUCAUCAACCACAAAUUAAAUAUUUGUAUGAAAAUUAAAAUCAGAAUAUUUGUACAAUCCAAAAAGAGAUGCUAUGAAAUAAUAUGAAAAAGAGAAUAAGCGUAGAUAUCAAACUAAUAAUCUAAACUCAGACAUAUAUUCCAAAGAUCUUAACCUCCAAAAUGAAAAUCAAUACUAUUAAAACAGAAAGCCUUUUUUUUUGUAUGACAUUUUCUUUCAAGAAUAUUUACAAGAUUGUGCCAAAGGAAUAUUUUUAAGCUAUACUUUUAUAUUUAUAGAAAUGCUACUGUCAAUUAUUAAUAAUUAUCUAAAUAUAUUAAUUACCUAUAUCAAAAAAUAAACACGUUACUUUGAGUUUAGCAAUCUGUCACAAGAGAUCAUCCCAGAUUUGGAUUUAAACUUUCAAGAGUGAUUAAUUCCAAUAUACAAUAAAGGUGAUGACGAUAAAGAUUUCGGAGUGUUUGAAGAUUGAAGUUUUGCUUGAGGUUCAAUUAGGCUUUUGUGGGAUUUUUGGUCGUGAAUCGAAGGAGGUUUCAUGAAGGUAACCCGCCGGAGCUUCCGGAGGUUGACGCGGUGAGGAGAGCAAUAGAGGGGAAUUGUUUGAGAAAGUAGAUCAAUCGAGUCAUCAACGCCGACUACACCAAAGUGAUCAACGGAAUCUCACUACCCGAGUUUAAAAUCUCAAUCCUCUGGAAUUUAGAUUCUCUGCCAUUUCCGUCUUUUCAAUUCGGUAAUAUCUCUGAAACACAUUUUGGAGUUUGCUCUGUAUUAUUGUCUAACGCAUGUUAAAGUCUCCACCUUUAUAACUGUGAUGUAUAAGAAAUGAGUGAAAGGUUGAGGAGCUUUAUUGAUGGGUUUCUUCAGGAUUGAUGGGUUUCUUCAGGUAUGGCUGGUGCUAUAUACGUCAAAGGCGUUGCAGUUACUAAGUACAAAAGGUGAAGUUUUAUGGAACUUUCUGUUAAUUCAUUGCAUCUAUGCUUAUAUAAGUUCAUAGAUGUGAAUAGAACAUUGUUUGUAUAGGUCUGCUGUAAAGUAAUCAGAGGAAUGGUCAUAAGUUCACAGUUUUUUGUUGAGGUUUGAGGAAUUUGAACACUCGAGAUGAGUUCACUAUUUGCUUCGGUCACAAAUGAAUUCUAAUUUUUUUGAUGAUGGUUUGGAGCUUUCAUUUGCUAAGAAGAGGAGAUUUGCCAUAGAUUUGGAGCUUUCAUUAAGGAGAUUUUCCAAAGUUAGAUUUUUAGUGAAGCCGGUUUCUGUGCGUCCAAUAUUAGAGAUUGGUCAUGAUGCAUUGUUGGAGCCUAUGACAGUUGUGGAUUUGCUAAAAGCUUAGCUAAAAUGUAAAUAACCAUAAAACUCUCUUACUUGAUAAGGUUAAGCUUUUUUUGUCACUUUCCUCUUACACCUUAAAGCAUAGAAAUUAUUAUGUAUUUAUAAAUUUAUUUGUAUAAUUUACAAUAAAAACUCUUAACAAUAAUAUAGAUUUUGU